AACAUUUCUCUAAACAGACUGAUCAAUACAUAUGGAGGACUAAAUGGGAACAUUUGAAAUAAAAAUAUAAACCAUUAAAUUAAUGAAUACGUGUCAUUAUUAUUUAAAAUUGACAUCAAAUGAAGAAAAGUGCAAAUAAAUCCUUAAAUGCUAGAGGGCUGCAUAUAGUUCAGGAAGUUGCAGGGGCCGAUCCAGCAGAGUUCAUCUCCUCAGAGACUUGAGGCAGUCCAUUACAGAACCCCUCCAACAGGCUGUCACCACCAUCACACUCACUGGAGUAGAGCGAACAGUAAAAGUCCACAGCCCUCCGUCUGAUCUGCUCAGGUCCAAUCAGCUCCUUUUCCGAGUCAGGCAACAAGGAUUGCAUCACUCUUCUGUCCAUGCUUCUUCUCCAAACCAAAACAGAAGCUAGAGGGAGCAUCUAUCCUGAAACUGGAACCUAACCAGAGAGUCCAGCACACGCUACAAGGUCAACUUUUUUGAUCUGAGAAGUUCUAUGCUGUAUAUCUGAAAUCCGCGGAGGCGGAGCUCUGCUUACUCCGUUUCAGAGAGACCCCCGACUGCUCUGAUCCACGCGCCUCAACGUCAUGAACUCUCCCGUCCACACACCUAACAACGUGACCCACCACAGACACACCCCCAUCCGAACCACAACACUCGGAGGACUCUUCAGCUCACAAACUCUUCAACUGCUCCAACCACACUCCUUCCACACAGAAGAAGAAGAAAGUUGGUAAUGAACUCUCUGCCAGGGACACCUCAGUCUAGAGAUGACAUGUUUUUAGACAACGUAGAUCUGGUGCUGGAACUGGUGUUGAAGCCGGCGUUGGAGCUAGUUUGGUCCACAAACCUGUUUGGUUCUGACAGUCACUCCAUCAACCUGUUGUCUCCAGUCAAUGUUCAUGACAUGAAGACAUUUGUGUGUUUUGGCGUCUAUUGACAUUUCUGAGCUCCAACUUUUGCUUGUUUCAUUUGUUUGUUUUUUUGGUCAUUGCAUAUGCGUGUGUUGAAGUGUGUCUAUGUGUGGGUGAACUUUUCCAUUGAUUUGAAGUCUUGUGUGUUAAAAAAAUGUAUUCUUGGCUGUUAUGAGUUUAAGGCGUUCCCCACAGAGAUGGAACCACGUUUUUACUGAAACCCCGCCCACUUUUGGUCUGUAUUUAAGGACUGCCUCAACCAGCAGAAAAUCAUCUUCAUCUGCUUUGAGCUCAGUCUCGUCCGGCUCCAGACCGUCUUCAGAGGAAACAACUUCUCUCUCAAGUUUAAAAGACUUUUCCUCCUUCAGCAACAAGCUCAGUUUUAGCUUCCAGUCAUCAACA